GCGCCCAUAGCUCAGUUGGAUAGAGCGCCGGUCUACGGAACCGGAGGCCGGGAGUUCGAGUCUCUCUGGGCGCA
rnacentral:tRNA from 1 species